UGCUCCUUGGCUAUCCCAACCCUCUUGAGGCACAGGGAAAUCAAUUCCCCUUUCUGAAAGGCAACAUCUACCAGUAAUUUCUGGGGACUCCAGUAGAAACAUACCGGUCUCCCCAAAGAGAAGAGACUAGAUAAAUACAGCCAAACUAAGACCCGUGGAAAGGUCCCAGCGGAAGAGGGAAUCGUCUCUGUUCGUCCGCCCCCAGGAGGCCAGACUUGGGACCUGUCACUUGGAAAAUUCUCUUGAUCUCCAUUCCCCUUGUGAGGGCGGGCCCACAGAAGGGCAAACCGUCCCGGGACGUGCCCCCUUCCCUCGCCACCUGCCAGGGACAGCUUCGAACGAGGCGGGAGGACAGAUGCCUACUUCAGUGUUGGGAAGGGAAAGGGGAAAAGAAAGAUGCAAGGACCUAAGCCAAGGCGCAAAGUCCCUCAGAUUGCGGCCGCUCCAGAGGAGUCGACCAGCAGCCUGGAGUCGGGGUUGAGGUGGAGAGGAGCAGGGGCCACGGCGUUGCCCGGUGGACGAGAAUAGGAGUGGGUGGCGGCCCGGGGACCUGGGAAAGCCGGGACCUGCGCGAAGGCUCGGCUCUGCGGGGCCCCUGAACUGCACCCGGAAGAUGGCGCGAGUGGCCGAACACCGUGACACACCGCCAGCCCUCAAAACCGUGGCUCUUUUCCUCGGUGAUCUCCAUGCGCAGUCCUCGGGGAACGCGUGGGAGUAGCAGGCCAGGGGUCCACUGGAAAUCCAGAAUCUGAUUUCUGUUUCCGAUUCCCUACGCUCCAGAGAAGGCCUCCUCUGCUGGCCCAGUAUGACCGACACUUCCCGGCUCUGGGAGCGCACCUCCACCUCCCACCCCCCAUGGUACAUACAGGGAAACUGAGGCCUAGAGAAGGACAAAGACACCCACAGACGGCUAGGAGAUAGAGACCAAGCAAACAACACCGCGGGGCUCCGUCCCAGGUUGGGAGCGCUUAGUCUGAUACGGCCAGAAGCCUGGGGCAAGGGGUUCCUACAGGUCUUUCUGGGGCGAGCCUGCCAACUCUCUUGGGUUUCCCCCCGGGCGGCCCCAGAUAAUAAUAGAUCCCAUUUGUUGAUGGCUUUACGGGCAGGAACUCACUGAAUAUCCGCCACAGACCACGGCAGAUAAGACCACUCCGGCGUUUUACAGCUGCCGUGAAGAUGCCAAACCCACCAAGACUGCGCUGCCCCACCUCUCCGAGGCUGUCCUGGGAGUGCGGGUGACCCGCGAGCUCCAGAAUCUUUCCUUAAGGUGGAGCCACAGCGCCACCUCGCGAUCCUCCAGCUUCCCUCCCUCAUGGCCACGGAAGGCUGGCCCUUUCUGGUCCAAGCCCCCAGGGUCCCACACUUACUGGUUUUCCAUGCACUUUCAUUAUUUCCCUUUCUCUCUCUUCAAUGUUCCCUUAUCCUGAGUAUUGAGGUCCCCAAACGCGCCUUUCUACCCCACGUUUGGACAUAGCCGGAAUGUCUACCUCCUUCUCCAUCCGGUGAAGCACUGCUCCCCCUAAAAUCACCAGCUCAAAAGUCACCUCUAUGAAACCUUUUUAGACUUUUCCAACGCAGUCAUUCGUGCCUUUCCCUGGUUUCCCUACUGCUCGCAUCACAUUGGACAGGAAAUGCUAUUUAAACGUUUUUCUCCUCUCCCUAAUCAGGGAGCUCCUCUGAGAGGAGCCAUGGCUGUCCUUGCUUAUUCAACAAUAAAACCUAGUAUAUAUCAAGUGCAUACUAUGGAGCGUUUAAUGCACUGUACUGUGCAAAAACAUAUUGUCUUAUUUCAUUUUCCCAGCAAAAUCAUGAGGAAAGCACGAAUAUUGUUUCCCAUUUUGCAGAUGAAGAAACUGAGGUUAGAGAAAAUAAGUACCCAUCCAAGGUAGCAUUGCAGAGCCUCAUCCAAGUCAGCCUGUCGGAUGCCAGAGCCAACUUUUCUUAACCUCUGACUUGCAGACUUAUUCAGCUGUAUAUCCGUGGGCUUUGUGAUAGGAAAAGACACAGAAUGAGUACUUGUGUGUUUAUGAAUAAAUGUAUCUUUUAAAUUAUUUCUUCUCCUAGAGAGUUGGGUGUGGGAAGGCACUGCAAUUAUCAGAUACUUUGAUUGAAAUGUCACCACAAUUAUUUAUCUCUAAAGAGUAUUCCUCUGCUAAGUAGCUAGGAGACCUUGGUCAAGUCACUUCAUCCUCAGUUUCCUAAGUUCUAAAAGUAGGUUUUCUGUGGAGGAUUAAAUGAGAAAAAAAAAUGUGAAUUACAUGAUAUAUAGCAUUCUAGUCAUUGCUCAGUAAUUAUAAUAACUCGAAACUACUGAAACACACACAAAAAAAACAAAACACAAAAUUGACUUACCCUAGUCACACAGAAUUCCCUGUACCUCUGUAUGAAAUCAUCUUACUGUUAUAUCUUCAUUUUCAUCUUAGACAUGAAUUAUAUAAUAAAUAUUUUUAGUUUAUGGUGGUUAGGGUGUUAAUGUUAACCCUGCUCUGUUACAAAUAUUUAAGGGGUAGUGGGAGAGAUAUAAUCAAACAGUAAACCAGCAAACUUUGCCUCUUGUAAUUUCCUCCUGCUUUGUAGAUCUUUACCAAGAAAGAUUUAAAGAAAGGCUAUAAAAGUACUUAUUGGCCAGGCACGGUGUCUCACUCCUGUAAUCCCAGCACUUUGGGAGUCCGAGGCAGGUGGAUAACCUGAGGUCAGGAGUUCGAGACCAGCCUGGCCAAUAUGGUGAAACCCUGUCUCUACUAAAAAUACAAAAAAUUAGCCGGGCUUGGUGACGGGUGCCUGCAAUCCUAGCUACUUGGGAGGCUGAGGCAGGAGAAUCGCUUGAACCCAGGAGGCAGAGGUUGCAGUGAGCCAAGAUCGCACCAUUGCACUCCACCUGGGCAACAAGAACAAAACUCUGCCUCAAAAAAAAAGAAAAAAGAAAAAGAAAAAGAUGCUUAUUAUUCUGGAAAGUACAAAACUCUAUUUUUUAAUUUAGGGGAGAUUCUGAGCUAGUUUAAGUGUUUCCCUACUUGAAAACAUCAUUGCUACCAAUACAUUAAAAGUUUAAAAAUAUGUGUCUAAGCAAAUGAUUGUAUCCAAAUAAAAGAAAACUCAAAUAAAAUAAUGUAUUACUACUAAUAUAUUAAAAGUUUAAAAAUACAUGUCUAAGCA
rnacentral:lncRNA from 1 species